rnacentral:rRNA from 1 species
GACAGAGGGUGCAAACGUUGUUCGGAUUUACUGGGCGUAAAGCGCGUGUAGGCGGCUUUGCAAGUCGGAUGUGAAAUCCCACGGCUCAACCGUGGAAGUGCAUCCGAAACUGCAUCGCUUGAGUCUCGGAGAGGAAGGUGGAAUGCUUGGUGUAGAGGUGAAAUUCGUAGAUGUCAAGCAGAACACCUGCGGCGAAGGCGGCCUUCUGGACGAUGACUGACGCUGAGACGCGAAAGCGUGGGGAGCAAACAGG